rnacentral:rRNA from 1 species
CCUACGGGAGGCAGCAGUCGGGAAUAUUGGACAAUGGGCGAAAGCCUGAUCCAGCAAUACCGCGUGUGUGAAGAAGGCCUGCGGGUUGUAAAGCACUUUCGCUAGGGAAGAUAAUGACGGUACCUAGAUAAGAAGCACCGGCUAACUCCGUGCCAGCAGCCGCGGUAAUACGGAGGGUGCAAGCGUUAAUCGGAAUUACUGGGCGUAAAGCGCGCGUAGGCGGCUUGUUAAGUCAGAUGUGAAAGCCCCGGGCUCAACCUGGGAACUGCAUCUGAUACUGGCAGGCUAGAGUUUGUGAGAGGGAAGUGGAAUUUCCGGUGUAGCGGUGAAAUGCAUAGAGAUCGGAAGGAACAUCAGUGGCGAAGGCGACUUCCUGGCACAAAACUGACGCUGAGGUGCGAAAGCGUGGGUAGCAAACAGGAUUAGAUACCCUGGUAGUCCACGCCGUAACGAUGAAUGCCAGUCGUCGGGUAGCAUGCUAUUCGGUGACACACCUAACGGAUUAAGCAUUCCGCCUGGGGAGUACGGUCGCAAGAUUAAAACUCAAAGGAAUUGACGGGG